rnacentral:misc_RNA from 1 species
CUACCCCUCAAGCGCGGCUUGUGUGUUGGGCGCUGUCCCCCCCCCCUUUUUCGGGGGGGACAGGCCUGAAAGGCAGUGGCGGCGUCGCGUCCGGUCCUCGAGCGUAUGGGGCUUUGUCACCCGCUCUGUGAGGAUCCGGCCGGGGCCUGUCUCACCCCCAAUCUUCUCUAA